CCCGGAGAAGCCCGCGCGCAGCAGCCGGCCAUCCGCGGGGCGCUGCCCGGCCGGGCGCAGCCGUGUAUAAAGUGGACCCUUCCAUCAUUUUUGAUCCUUCCGUAAGCUGAAUGGUGAAGAGAUUUACUAGAGACUUCUGCAUGUGAAAUCCAAACAUGGGACCCUGCCUGUGGGGAAACUGACACCCUGCAAGAGCGUCAACUUCGGUUCUGAUGUGAGCUUCCCCAGCAUGCUCCAGAGCUCUCAGACCCCACAGGGAUCUGGACCGGGGCUCCUUCUCCCCCCCCCCUGGCUGGUCUCGCCAGCCACACUCCCCUGCAGACUGUCACAUUCCAAAGAGGAUUCACUUUUACCACAAGUGCCCUGGGUCACACUGUUGCUAAUUUAGCGACUGUUAUUGGACAAUGUGAUUCACCCUCCACGGCCUGCCUUCAGAUGGAUUCAUUACCUGCAUUGAUUGCUCUCUGUUGCUGUUCACCGCUUGCCAGCCAAGGCACAGCCCUGCUUAAAAAACCGGGUAGCGUUUUGCCUUCUGAUAAUGAUACAGAACUCCCUCCUCCAUCGCCAAUGACAUGGUAUUCCACUUUUUGAAGAUGGACUUAAAUUGCAUAACUCCUUUUCCAUGGUGAUGAGAAAAUAAAUUACUUUUCUCUAUUGCUA